rnacentral:rRNA from 1 species
UACGGAGGGUGCAAACGUGGCUCGGAAUCAUUGGGCGUAAAGCGCACGUAGGCGGCGCACCAAGUCGGACGUGAAAGCCCUCAGCUCAACUGAGGAAGUGCGCCCGAAACUGCAUGGCUUGAGUACCGGAGAGGAUGGCGGAAUUCCCCAAGUAGAGGUGAAAUUCGUAGAUAUGGGGAGGAACACCGGUGGCGAAGGCGGCCAUCUGGACGGAUACUGACGCUGAGACGCGAAAGCGUGGGUAGCAAACAGG